UUUUUUGAGUUCCCACAUGAUAUGAAAAUUGUGCUUCACUAUAUAACACUGUCCAUCUACCAUAUUCAUAACUGAGAGAGAGAGAGAGAGAGAGAGACAUAAGAAAAAUGAAGUCUUUUGCUUGGAUAUUAAUCCUCUUAUUAUUAUGCACAUCUAAUUUCAUAACAACUUUUUCUGAUCGAGAUCUUGAUAUGCUAAGGAGCAAAGACUUACUGAUUUCGUGGUUGGAGGAGGAGGAAUUCCCGUUCCGGAAUAUGGAAAUAACACAUGAUUCUGGGCAUGCAAGAAAGCUCGCGACAGUAGAGGAGAUCAGCUCUACCGUUAAGGGGCAGAAAGGGAAAGGCGCAUAUGGAGGCGCCAACGUUGUUCACAAGCGGCCAGACGAGAAGAACGCUGCGCCAACCUAUAGGCCGUGCUUGUUUUUAUUCGCCGCCGUUGUUGGUUUCAGCUUCUUCUCAUGAACAACAAGUAUUGUGUGUUUUUUAGUCUCUGAGUUUAUUUUUUCGUCGCUAUAUUUGGUUGAUGAUUGUCUGUUUGUUUGGUAAUUAAUAGCGUGUGGCAUUGAUGAAACAGAAGAUUGUGGAGUAGUAGUAUUAUAUUUCAAUCUUGUAUUUAUUUGAUUUAAGUGUGGAAUUCUUCAAGAAAAAGUGGAAACAAGGAUUUGCUAUACUAAUGCACUUCACAUGUCACAUAUGAGACGUUUCUAUUUCA